rnacentral:rRNA from 1 species
AACGCCCGGUCCCAUUCCGAACCCGGAAGCUAAGCCUGCACACGCUGAUGGUACUGCAACCGGGAGGUUGUGGGAGAGUAAGUCACCGCCGACA